UAGGGAAUAUUGGGCAAUGGUCGCAAGACUGACCCAGCCAUGCCGCGUGAAGGAAGAAGGCUUUCUGAGUUGUAAACUUCUUUUAUCUGGGAAAAAAAUACCCUUGCGAGGGGAACUGAUGGUACCAGAUGAAUAAGCACCGGCUAACUCCGUGCCAGCAGCCGCGGUAAUACGGAGGGUGCAAGCGUUGUCCGGAUUUAUUGGGUUUAAAGGGUGCGUAGGCGGCUUUAUAAGUCAGCGUUGAAAUAUGGCAGCUUAACUGUCAGACUGGCAUUGAUACUGUAGAGCUUGAGUGAAGUCGAGGUUGGCGGAAUUGACGGUGUAGCGGUGAAAUGCAUAGAUAUCGUCAAGAACACCGAUUGCGAAGGCAGCUAACUAGACUUUAACUGACGCUGAGGCACGAAAGCGUGGGGAUCAAACAGG
rnacentral:rRNA from 1 species